AAAUUGAAGAGUUUGAUCAUGGCUCAGAUUGAACGCUGGCGGCAGGCCUAACACAUGCAAGUCGAGCGGUAGCACGGGGGAGCUUGCUCCCUGGGUGACGAGCGGCGGACGGGUGAGUAAUGUCUGGGAAACUGCCUGAUGGAGGGGGAUAACUACUGGAAACGGUAGCUAAUACCGCAUAACCUCGCAAGAGCAAAGAGGGGGACCUUCGGGCCUCUCGCCAUCAGAUGUGCCCAGAUGGGAUUAGCUAGUAGGUGAGGUAAUGGCUCACCUAGGCGACGAUCCCUAGCUGGUCUGAGAGGAUGACCAGCCACACUGGAACUGAGACACGGUCCAGACUCCUACGGGAGGCAGCAGUGGGGAAUAUUGCACAAUGGGCGCAAGCCUGAUGCAGCCAUGCCGCGUGUGUGAAGAAGGCCUUCGGGUUGUAAAGCACUUUCAGCGGGGAGGAAGGCGGUAAGGUUAAUAACCUUAUCGAUUGACGUUACCCGCAGAAGAAGCACCGGCUAACUCCGUGCCAGCAGCCGCGGUAAUACGGAGGGUGCAAGCGUUAAUCGGAAUGACUGGGCGUAAAGCGCACGCAGGCGGUCUGUUAAGUUGGAUGUGAAAUCCCCGGGCUUAACCUGGGAACUGCAUUCAAAACUGACAGGCUAGAGUCUUGUAGAGGGGGGUAGAAUUCCAGGUGUAGCGGUGAAAUGCGUAGAGAUCUGGAGGAAUACCGGUGGCGAAGGCGGCCCCCUGGACAAAGACUGACGCUCAGGUGCGAAAGCGUGGGGAGCAAACAGGAUUAGAUACCCUGGUAGUCCACGCUGUAAACGAUGUCGAUUUGGAGGUUGUGCCCUUGAGGCGUGGCUUCCGGAGCUAACGCGUUAAAUCGACCGCCUGGGGAGUACGGCCGCAAGGUUAAAACUCAAAUGAAUUGACGGGGGCCCGCACAAGCGGUGGAGCAUGUGGUUUAAUUCGAUGCAACGCGAAGAACCUUACCUACUCUUGACAUCCAGAGAACUUAGCAGAGAUGCUUUGGUGCCUUCGGGAACUCUGAGACAGGUGCUGCAUGGCUGUCGUCAGCUCGUGUUGUGAAAUGUUGGGUUAAGUCCCGCAACGAGCGCAACCCUUAUCCUUUGUUGCCAGCGAUUCGGUCGGGAACUCAAAGGAGACUGCCGGUGAUAAACCGGAGGAAGGUGGGGAUGACGUCAAGUCAUCAUGGCCCUUACGAGUAGGGCUACACACGUGCUACAAUGGCGUAUACAAAGAGAAGCGACCUCGCGAGAGCAAGCGGACCUCAUAAAGUACGUCGUAGUCCGGAUUGGAGUCUGCAACUCGACUCCAUGAAGUCGGAAUCGCUAGUAAUCGUAGAUCAGAAUGCUACGGUGAAUACGUUCCCGGGCCUUGUACACACCGCCCGUCACACCAUGGGAGUGGGUUGCAAAAGAAGUAGGUAGCUUAACCUUCGGGAGGGCGCUUACCACUUUGUGAUUCAUGACUGGGGUGAAGUCGUAACAAGGUAACCGUAGGGGAACCUGCGGUUGGAUCACCUCCUUA
rnacentral:rRNA from 1 species